ACGCUCGACACCUACGGGAGGCAGCAGUAGGGAAUCUUCCACAAUGGGCGGCAAGCCUGAUGGAGCAACACCGCGUGAGUGAAGAAGGGUUUCGGCUCGUAAAGCUCUGUUGUUGGAGAAGAACGUGCGUGAGAGUAACUGUUCACGCAGUGACGGUAUCCAACCAGAAAGUCACGGCUAACUACGUGCCAACAGCCGCGGUAAUCUGAGCGGGCUGGCAAGGC
rnacentral:rRNA from 1 species